CUGGUAACGGCCUCCACCGACGGGAUCGGCUUCGCCAUCGCCCGGCGUUUGGCCCAGGACGGGGCCCAUGUGGUCGUCAGCAGCCGGAAGCAGCAGAAUGUGGACCAGGCGGUGGCCACGCUGCAGGGGGAGGGGCUGAGCGUGACGGGCACCGUGUGCCAUGUGGGGAAGGCGGAGGACCGGGAGCGGCUGGUGGCCACGGUGAGCUGCAGGGAAAUGGGCACAGAGCCAGGAGGUGGAAAACGGAGCCAGCCUGAGCCUCCUUCCCUGCUUUCCUAGACAGCAGCACAUUUUUACUGUGUGCCUUUCUAUUAUGUCCAUAUACUAACGUCAGAGAAUCAUCCCAUCUCAGUCAGAGAAUUUUAAAACAUUCUAAUGCUUCAACCCUGCAUCAUCCCUUGAGUACCCCAAAGAAACAGCUGGUACUGGUUCUGCAGUAAUUUUCAAUCUAAUUGAACAGAUGUGAAGGGUAAAUACAAUCACAAAAUACAUGUUCCCACCCAUGAGUUAAUAAACAUUCCCCUCUUCUUC
rnacentral:lncRNA from 1 species